UUGGCAUCAGAUUUCCAAGGAAUCGUGAAGACGAAAAACAAGUAAUGGCUUUUCUGAUGAGGGGAGAACCAUUGGUGACGAAGCUUGCAGUGCUGGCUAAGCACGUUGUUCUUCCAGGUUCCAUGGUGGCUGCUUUGUUCUACUCACCUCCCGACUAUUAUUACUCUUACAAGCCAGAUAAAGCUUCCAAAUAGGGAAUGACUCGGCGUGUAAUUGAACAUGGACUCUUUACAGUGUGGUCAGGCAUUAAUUAAACCCAGGACCUGAGUCUUUGGAUUUGUGGGUUCUUGUGAAUCAAAACUCCUGUACUCGUUUUGCAGAUUUCUUUUGUGACAGUUUGCUUAGUUCCAAAAAUUAUAGGAUCUUUCCCUUUUGAUCAAAUGUGAAAUUAGUAGAUUUGUGGAAUGAAUAGGCGUUGCAAUAGAGCUUCAAGGCAAAUAUAUUUAUAAUUUGCGGUUUUGUACUCCAAUGUGGAGAGAUCAAUUUGCUACUCGUGGACUCUUAAACUAAUUUACUUCAUAGUG